rnacentral:tRNA from 1 species
UAGCUCAGUCGGUAAAGAGUCUGCCUGCAGUGCAGGAGACCCAGGUUCGAUCCCUGG